rnacentral:rRNA from 1 species
CCUACGGGAGGCAGCAGUGAGGAAUAUUGGUCAAUGGACGAGAGUCUGAACCAGCCAAGUAGCGUGAAGGAUGACUGCCCUAUGGGUUGUAAACUUCUUUUAUACGGGAAUAAAGUGAGCCACGUGUGGCUUUUUGUAUGUACCGUAUGAAUAAGGAUCGGCUAACUCCGUGCCAGCAGCCGCGGUAAUACGGAGGAUCCGAGCGUUAUCCGGAUUUAUUGGGUUUAAAGGGAGCGCAGACGGGAGAUUAAGUCAGUUGUGAAAGUUUGCGGCUCAACCGUAAAAUUGCAGUUGAUACUGGUUUCCUUGAGUGCAGUUGAGGCAGGCGGAAUUCGUGGUGUAGCGGUGAAAUGCUUAGAUAUCACGAAGAACUCCGAUUGCGAAGGCAGCACACUAAGCCGUAACUGACGUUCAUGCUCGAAAG